AUUGAACGCUGGCGGCAUGCCUUACACAUGCAAGUCGAACGGCAGCACGGGGGCAACCCUGGUGGCGAGUGGCGAACGGGUGAGUAAUACAUCGGAACGUGCCCAGUCGUGGGGGAUAACGUAGCGAAAGUUACGCUAAUACCGCAUACGAUCUCUGGAUGAAAGCGGGGGACCGCAAGGCCUCGCGCGAUUGGAGCGGCCGAUGGCAGAUUAGGUAGUUGGUGGGGUAAAAGCUUACCAAGCCUCCGAUCUGUAGCUGGUCUGAGAGAACGAGCAGCCACAUUGGGACUGAGACACGGCCCAGACUCCUACGGGAGGCAGCAGUGGGGAAUUUUGGACAAUGGGCGCAAGCCUGAUCCAGCAAUGCCGCGUGCAGGAAGAAGGCCUUCGGGUUGUAAACUGCUUUUGUACGGAGCGAAAAGGUUUGGCCUAAUAAGCUGAGCUCAUGACGGUACCGUAAGAAUAAGCACCGGCUAACUACGUGCCAGCCGCCGCAGUAA
rnacentral:rRNA from 1 species